GCGAAUCAAAGAAUUCAACUUCAUUUAUAACUAAUAUAGGACAAUGCUGUUGAUUAAAAAAUACUCCAUUCCAGGACCUUUUGUUUUCCAAAUAAUUAGUAUUUAUCAUGACCAAUAAUUGAUAAGUUCCAGUUCGACGGGUUCGAACAGAAAGAUUUGAAAGCUGAGAAAACUGUGUAUCUUAUAAUCGGCAUGAUUUUAUCAGAUGACAAUACUAAUACUAAAGUAAGGCUUGCGCAUAGUUAUAUACUUUAAUUCAGUCACGGACCCGCGAUGUCACGGGU
rnacentral:lncRNA from 1 species